CAGGGUGAAGACGGGUCUCUGAAGAUGAGCCAUAAUGGACAUGAGUGCUGACAUUUUGUGCAGACUUGUUUUUGUUGGUCCUCACCCCAUGUGGCCGAGCGUCGAGUGCUGCAGGUUCUGGAUCUGCUGUUGCUGCCAGCAUGUGACUGAUCCAAGACCAGAACCUCCAAACCCGGACAGGGAGGAGAGGUCACUGCUGAGGGAGAACUCUGAGG